AGCUAGCUAUGUUCAGGCAGCAAUAAUGGAGGAGAAUGCAAUAAGCUGUCACUUGAAGACAGACUUGAUGCCCUGAGCCUUAAUGGGAGAAUAACACAAUAGGGUCAGACUAAAAAGGUUUCCUUAUGAAAAUUUUAUCAGCAACUUUGGUAAAUGGCUGAGGGAAAGGUGCCUUGCUCUCAGGCAAACCUGGGACCUGUUUUUACAAGGUGCAGCCGGCCCGCAUUGCAUCACCCCCCACAAGAUAUUAAGGGCACUCAAAUUGAAUUAACACCAAAUCAGUCCGGUGCACUUAACAAUACAAAUGCACUUAAGGGAUGCCUCAGAAUGAUUUGUGACUAAAGAAAGCAAAGAAGAAAACGGCCUUCAAGACCACAAAGGCGGUGUUGGAUGUCAUCUACAGGAAAAGCCAUAAGUAGAGCUUAGAAUACCGGAAAACCAUGAACUUCGGGGGCUCUCAGAUACCUCGGACGCAGCCGUAAAGUAGAUGGCCGCUCUUGCGGUAUGCAGAAACAAUUGAUAAAUAAAUUACAGCCAAUUUUCUUAGUGGCACGGUCUCCAUUACCUCUGACAGCAGCGUAACUGCUCGGCUAAAAUGAGACGAGGCGAAUAAUGGCGUAUCGGAUAGCCCCGCGCGGAAACUCUUUGCCAGCUGCCAGGCCUCCUCAUGGCGGCGAUGACACCGAGAUCCCCCGGAAGGGCUCGGUGCUGAGCUGGGGAAUAAGAUGUUGAAGAGAAAUGACUGUAAAGAUAAAAGGUUAAAAAAAAAAGUGGGAAGGGAAGAUAUCUGAAAAAGGCAAGAAAAACACAAAAUGAGAAGAUGAAUUAUUGAAUAAUUCUUAAACAUAAUAAUUAAGUUAAGAAAACUUGAAAAUUGACUAUAUUAUCCCAAUUAGUUGGUGAAGCAGACAUUUACAGAAUUAACAGCAUUUUAGAGCUAAAAGGGGCCUCAUUGUCUAUCUAGUCAACCC